CUGCUUAUUGUGAUGGGACUGCACCUUCUAUUUUAAGGGAACCAAUCAGUCAAGAAACUAAGGCUGGAAUGUUUCUCGUUUCUGCCAUUACCAUUGGCUGCUGCUUUGUUCUCACUUUACUGUUUCUGGUUCUGCUUCCCUUAUUGUGUUUACCUGACGUUCAUCCUCUGAGUCCUCUACUGGGCUGAGGCCCCAAAAAACUUACUGUGACAUUAGUCUGUGUGUGUCCUUGACUGGGUGUCCAUGUGCGUGGACGAGAAUGCUAUAAGGGCCAAACUGUGUGAACAGCCAUUUUAAACAAUCUG